ACUCCUACGGGAGGCAGCAGUGGGGAAUAUUGCACAAUGGGGGAAACCCUGAUGCAGCGACGCAGCGUGCGGGAUGACGGCCUUCGGGUUGUAAACCGCUUUCAGCAGGGAAGAAGCGCAAGUGACGGUACCUGCAGAAGAAGUACCGGCUAACUACGUGCCAGCAGCCGCGGUAAUACGUAGGGUACGAGCGUUGUCCGGAAUUAUUGGGCGUAAGAGCUCGUAGGUGGUUGGUCACGUCUGCUGUGGAAACGCAACGCUUAACGUUGCGCGU
rnacentral:rRNA from 1 species